rnacentral:rRNA from 1 species
AAACCGCUUAGGGGUUAAGUCCGAUGAACCUGAAUAUCUGAAUUGAGAAAUUCAAUACUAUUUUAGUAAUUUAUUGUAAAAAAUAAAUAAACAAUGGUAUGCACUUUUCUCAUAGUAAGACAUUGCGAUCCAUUAGUAUAUCUUUUAUAGAUGGUUUAUCAAACGGCCCGUUUGGUUUGUUUAUUCUAUCUGUGAUACUUGUAUCAUAUGAAUAAUACCAUAUCGGUGACCUGUUAAACAGCUGAUGGAGCUUAAAAAUCAUGCAACCAUGCAUAUGUAUCACAUUUUAUGUAUUUUUAAUAUAUGAUAGUAGUGAUAGCAUGUAUUUGAUUAGCAAUGCGAUAGAUUUGGGAUACCUUCGGGACCCGUCUUGAAACACGGACCAAGAAGUCUAACAUGUGUGUAAGUCAUUGGGUAUUUGUUGAAACCUAAAGGCGUAAUUAAAAUAACUAUUUUAAUGGGAUUACAAGCAAUUUAAUAUAUUGUUUCUCCAUCCCGGGGCGUUCUAUACGAACAUGGUUUAAGCAAUUAGACCCUCUGUUCAAGAGCGUACCUUGAACAUACAUGCUGU